rnacentral:rRNA from 1 species
CCUACGGGGGGCAGCAGUGGGGAAUAUUGCACAAUGGGGGAAACCCUGAUGCAGCGACGCCGCGUGAGUGAAGAAGUAAUUCGUGAUGUAAAGCUCUAUCAGCAGGGAAGAAAAUGACGGUACCUGAGUAAGAAGCCCCGGCUAACUACGUGCCAGCAGCCGCGGGAAUACGUAGGGGGCAAGCGUUAUCCGGAUUUACUGGGUGUAAAGGGAGCGUAGACGGCAGUGCAAGUCUGGAGUGAAAGGCGGGGGCGCAACCCCCGGACUGCUCUGGAAACUGUACGGCUGGAGUGCAGGAGAGGUAAGUGGAAUUCCUAGUGUAGCGGUGAAAUUCGUAGCUAUUAGGAG